CCCUUAGAUGUUCUGGGCCGCACGCGCGCUACACUGACGAAGUCAGCGAGCAUGUCCUACGCCGACAGGUGCGGGGAAUCUUGUCAAACUUCGUCGUGAUGGGGAUUGAUUUUUGAAAUUCUAGAUCAUAAACGAGGAAUUCCUAGUAAGCGCAAGUCAGCAGCUUGCGUUGAUUACGUCCCUGCCCUUUGUACACACCGCCCGUCGCUACUACCGAUUGAAUGGUUUAGUGAGAUCUUCGGAUUGGCGCCACUGCAGCUCAGCAAUGGGCUUGGUGGAUGCCGAAAAGUUGAUCAAACUUGAUCAUUUAGAGGAAGUAAAAGUCGUAACA
rnacentral:rRNA from 1 species